rnacentral:rRNA from 1 species
AUUGAACGCUGGCGGCAGGCCUAACACAUGCAAGUCGAACGGUAACAGGAAGAAGCUUGCUUCUUUGCUGACGAGUGGCGGACGGGUGAGUAAUGUCUGGGAAACUGCCUGAUGGAGGGGGAUAACUACUGGAAACGGUAGCUAAUACCGCAUAACGUCGCAAGCCCAAAGAGGGGGACCUUCGGGCCUCUUGCCCUCGGAUGUGCCCAGAUGGGAUUAGCUAGUAGGUGGGGUAACGGCUCACCUAGGCGACGAUCCCUAGCUGGUCUGAGAGGAUGACCAGCCACACUGGAACUGAGACACGGUCCAGACUCCUACGGGAGGCAGCAGUGGGGAAUAUUGCACAAUGGGCGCAAGCCUGAUGCAGCCAUGCCGCGUGUAUGAAGAAGGCCUUCGGGUUGUAAAGUACUUUCAGCGGGGAGGAAGGGAGUAAAGUUAAUACCUUUGCUCAUUGACGUUACCCGCAGAAGAAGCACCGGCUAACUCCGUG